rnacentral:rRNA from 1 species
GGUCAGGAUGAACGCUAGCGACAGGCUAACACAUGCAAGUCGAGGGGCAGCAUAAAAGUAGCAAUACGUUGGUGGCGACCGGCGCACGGGUGAGUAACGCGUAUGCAACCUACCUAUCAGAGGGGAAUAACCCGGCGAAAGUCGGACUAAUACCGCAUAAAACAGGGGCACCGCAUGGUGAUAUUUGUUAAAGAAAUUCGCUGAUAGAUGGGCAUGCGUUCCAUUAGGUAGUUGGUGAGGUAACGGCUCACCAAGCCGACGAUGGAUAGGGGAACUGAGAGGUUGGUCCCCCACACUGGUACUGAGACACGGACCAGACUCCUACGGGAGGCAGCAGUGAGGAAUAUUGGUCGAUGGGCGAGAGCCUGAACCAGCCAAGUCGCGUGAAAGGAAGAAGGAUCUAUGGUUCGUAAACUUCUUUUGCAGGGGAAUAAAGUGCAGGACGUGUCCUGUUUUGUAUGUACCCUGAGAAUAAGGAUCGGCUAACUCCGUGCCAGCCGCUGC